AGCGGCGGAUGGGUGAGUAACACGUGGGGAACCUGCCCCUAAGUCUGGGAUACCAUUUGGAAACAGGUGCUAAUACCGGAUAAUAAAGCAGAUCGCAUGAUCAGCUUUUGAAAGGCGGCGUAAGCUGUCGCUAAGGGAUGGCCCCGCGGUGCAUUAGCUAGUUGGUAAGGUAACGGCUUACCAAGGCGACGAUGCAUAGCCGAGUUGAGAGACUGAUCGGCCACAUUGGGACUGAGACACGGCCCAAACUCCUACGGGAGGCAGCAGUAGGGAAUCUUCCACAAUGGACGCAAGUCUGAUGGAGCAACGCCGCGUGAGUGAAGAAGGUUUUCGGAUCGUAAAGCUCUGUUGUUGGUGAAGAAGGAUAGAGGUAGUAACUGGCCUUUAUUUGACGGUAAUCAGCCAGAAAGUCACGGCUAACUACGUGCCAGCAGCCGCGGUAAUACGUAGGUGGCAAGCGUUGUCCGGAUUUAUUGGGCGUAAAGCGAGCGCAGGCGGAAAAAUAAGUCUAAUGUGAAAGCCCUCGGCUUAACCGAGGAACUGCAUCGGAAACUGUUUUUCUUGAGUGCAGAAGAGGAGAGUGGAACUCCAUGUGUAGCGGUGGAAUGCGUAGAUAUAUGGAAGAACACCAGUGGCGAAGGCGGCUCUCUGGUCUGCAACUGACGCCGAGGCUCGAAAGCAUGGGUAGCGAACAGGAUUAGAUACCCUGGUAGUCCAUGCCGUAAACGAUGAGUGCUAAGUGU
rnacentral:rRNA from 1 species